UACAGAGGUCCCAAGCGUUGUUCGGAUUCACUGGGCGUAAAGGGUGCGUAGGUGGUGGGGUAAGUCGGAUGUGAAAGCUCGGAGCUCAACUCCGAAAUGGCAUUGGAAACUACCCUGCUAGAGGAUUGGAGGGGGGACUGGAAUACUUGGUGUAGCGGUGAAAUGCGUAGAUAUCAAGAGGAACACCUGAGGUGAAGACGGGUUGCUGGGCCAACACUGACGCUGAGGCGCGAAAGCCAGGGGAGCAAACGGG
rnacentral:rRNA from 1 species